GGUAAUGCAGUGAUAAAGAAUAGUAGUGAGUGAUUCAUUUCCAGAAAGCCGUGGGGUGAUGUGACACGGUAUGAUAACCUACAUGAACUCGCCUUUUGAGCAAACGUAACUUCUGCGUUAAAGAAGAUUUGAGCUGUAUGAUUGAUUUACAAUCAUAAACUAAGGUGGUACCGCGUAUAUAACGUCCUUAGA
rnacentral:ncRNA from 1 species